GACCUAUUAGCUCAGUUGGUUAGAGCGUCAAGCGUCGUGCUAAUAACGCGAAGGUCGCAGGUUCGAGACCUGCAUGGGCCA